rnacentral:tRNA from 1 species
GGGCGGAUAGCUCAGCUGGAAGAGCACGGCCCUUACAAGGCCGGGGUCGCAGGUUCGAGCCCUGCUCCGCCCACCA